rnacentral:rRNA from 1 species
AACGAACGCUGGCGGCGUGCCUAACACAUGCAAGUCGUGCGAGAAAGUUCCUUCGGGAGCGAGUAAAGCGGCGCACGGGUGAGUAACACGUAGGUAACCUGCCCCCCAGUCUGGAACAACUAGAGGAAACUCUAGCUAAUGCCGGAUGAGACCACGAUCCCUUCGGGGGUUGCGGCCAAAGAUGGCCUCUACUUGUAAGCUAUCGCUGAGGGAUGGGCCUGCGGGCCAUUAGCUUGUUGGUGAGGUAACGGCUCACCAAGGCUGUGAUGGCUAGCUGGUCUGAGAGGAUGACCAGCCACACUGGGACUGAGACACGGCCCAGACUCCUACGGGAGCAGCAGUGGGAUAUUGCGCAAUGGGCGAAAGCCUGACGCAGCGACGCCGCGUGGGUGA